UAAUAAAAAUAAUUUUGAAUAAUUUACAAACUAAAGCAAUAGUCUUUUAUUAUUUAAUUUAUUUUUGAAUUAUGAGUAUGUUUAGACACGUGAAAUCUUUACAGAAUAAAGGGGGACCAUCCUCUAAGGCUAAAUACUAAUAGUUAACCGAUAGUGAAUUAGUACCGUGAGGGAAAGAUGAAAUAGAACCUUUAAAUAGGAGUGAAAUAGAACCUGAAAUUAUAUACGUAAAAGCAAUAGAAGCUGAAAAGUAACUAUAUACCUUUUGUAUAAUGGGUCAGCGACUUAUUUUUUUUAGCAAGCUUAACUUAAGGUAGGCGAAGAGAAAUCAAGUCUGAAAGGGCGAAAGUUAAAAACAAUAGACCCGAAACCGAGCGAUCUAUCUAUAAACAGGUUGAAGGU
rnacentral:rRNA from 1 species